CCUACGGGAGACAGCAGUGAGGAAUAUUGGUCAAUGGACGAGAGUCUGAACCAGCCAAGUAGCGUGAAUGAUGACUGCCCUAUGGGUGGUAAACUUCUUUUAUAUGGGAAUAAAAUGUUCCACGUGUGGGAUUUCGUAUGUACCAUAUGAACAAGGAUCGGCUAACUCCGUGCCAGCAGCCGCGGUAAUACGGAGGAUCCGAGCGUUAUCCGGAUGUAUUGGGUUUAAAGGGAGCGUAGGUGGAUUGUUAAGUCAGUUGUGAAAGUUUGGGGCUCAACCGGAGAAUUGCAGUUGAAACUGGCAGUCUUGAGUACAGUAGAGGUGGGCGGAAUUCGUGGUGUAGCGGUGAAAUGCUUAGAUAUCACGAAGAACUCCGAUUGCGAAGGCAGUUCACUGGACUGAAACUGACACUGAGGCUCGAAAGUGUGGGUAUCAAACAGGAUUAGAUACCCGGGUAGUC
rnacentral:rRNA from 1 species